rnacentral:rRNA from 1 species
AUGGGUCACCUCCCCACCCGUGUUUAUUUUACCUUGUUGCUUCGGCGGGCCCGCCUUUACUGGCCGCCGGGGGGCUCACGCCCCCGGGCCCGCGCCCGCCGAAGACACCUCCGAACUCUGUCUGAAGAUUGAAGUCUGAGUGAAAAUAUAAAUUAUUUAAAACUUUCAACAACGGAUCUCUUGGUUCCGGCAUCGAUGAAGAACGCAGCGAAAUGCGAUACGUAAUGUGAAUUGCAAAUUCAGUGAAUCAUCGAGUCUUUGAACGCACAUUGCGCCCCCUGGUAUUCCGGGGGGCAUGCCUGUCCGAGCGUCAUUGCUGCCCUCAAGCACGGCUUGUGUGUUGGGCCCCGUCCUCCGAUUCCGGGGGACGGGCCCGAAAGGCAGCGGCGGCACCGCGUCCGGUCCUCGAGCGUAUGGGGCUUUGUCACCCGCUCUGUAGGCCCGGCCGGCGCUUGCCGAUCAACCCAAAUUUUUAUCCAGGUUGACCUCGGAUCAGGUAGGGAUACCCGACUGAACUUAAGCAUAUCAAUAAGCGAGGGGAAAAGAAACCCUUGU